UUCUAAACGAAACACUGCAUAGUCGUCGUCUACGAGUUUACAGAUCUCUGCAACUGCUGUAUUCGCUAGAACCUCCAUAAUGGAGGCCAUUUGAGUGUGAAAACCCAUAGCCAUUGUUGUUAGCUAGCUAACGUUAGAAGCUAACUAGCGUUACCUAAAUAACGUAACAUCUAUCAACCAAGUCCUGUCUUCAACGCGAAUUAAAGACAGCCGGGGGGUGGAGCAGGAGUAAGAUCACUAGAAAGCAGCAUGCUGCCAGACCACCACAGGACCCGAGAGGCCUCUGCAUGCUGUGACAAGGGCCUGGAUGGUGACAUAUGCUUCAAGCUACCUGACUGAAUACUGGGGCCUUCAGCGGUACCUUCCCUUUGAUUACAGCAAGAGUUUCCUUAUGUCUCGUAGCCAUUUAACAUGUACUGUAUGUGACCACUCAAAUUCUUACAAACCGCUACGAACACAAGAACAGACUUAUAUUCACUUGUCCCUGGCUGCGUUUACAGGCAGCCCAAUUCUGAUAUUUUUUCCACUAAUUGGUCUUUUGACCAAUCCCAGAUCUUUUCACAUCAGAUCUUUUUCAGCGCUGAUCUGAUUGGUCAAAAGACCAAUUGUUGAAAAAAAAGAUCAGACUUGGGCUGCCUGUCUGAACAGUCCUAUUCUUCAGGCUUGUCUGGGAUAUAUAUUUUAGUUGGCACACCUGUGUGAUAUCUUUUAUAAAUUAAUAAUAAUUUAUUCACCCUGGAUAUGAGAGUUGCAUUGAUUUGAGACCUUUUGGAAUCAGAAGCGCCAAGUGUUGUCUUGAUGGAGAACGUCUGUAUGUUGUCAGAUGUUUAAGUUACCAUAGUAGUUAGUAAAAAUUAGAAGAACAGGCUGAAACAGUUAUGGUUUUUUAACCUAUUAAAAAAUGAACAUGAGUAGUUUAUACAAAAGUUUAUUGCAUUUCGUGGUCAUCCCACAAAUUGGACAAUUUUAAAGCCUUGAUAGUUGCAUCCUUCCUCAGGGAACUGUCUGCUGAUAGCUGACAACAUGGUGGCAGGUUUUUUGAUGUGCUGCUCUAGAGUUCCCAGCAGACUCACCUGGGAAUAGGGGGAUGGACAGAGUGUGCAAAGCUGUCAUCAAGGCAAAG